rnacentral:rRNA from 1 species
CCUACGGGUGGCAGCAGUGGGGAAUAUUGCACAAUGGGGGAAACCCUGAUGCAGCGACGCCGCGUGAGUGAAGAAGUAAUUCGUUAUGUAAAGCUCUAUCAGCAGGGAAGAAAAUGACGGUACCUGAGUAAGAAGCCCCCGCUAACUACGUGCCAACAGCCGCGGUAAUACGUAGGGGGCAAGCGUUAUCCGGAUUUACUGGGUGGAAAGGGAGCGUAGACGGCAGUGCAAGUCUGGAGUGAAAGGCGGGGGCUCAACCCCCGGACUGCUCUGGAAACUGUACGGCUGGAGUGCAGGAGAGGUAAGUGGAAUUCCUAGUGGAGCGGUGAAAUGCGUAGAUAUUAGGAGGAACACCAGUGGCGAAGGCGGCUUACUGGACUGUAACUGACGUUGAGGCUCGAAAGCGUGGGGAGCAAACAGGAUUAGAUACCCUUGUAGUC